rnacentral:lncRNA from 1 species
AUGGAUACAUACCUUUCUUGCUCUUUUGAAACUUUUUGAGGAGAAUGAGAUGCUCUAUAUUUUCUUUUUCUUUUCUCUCAGGUGGGUAUCUUGUACCCCUAAUUCUACUGUCGGACACUUGUCCAUUUUUACCUCUCGUCUCACUUUUUCUUUUCUUUCGAGGUUCCGGGCACUUGCCCAUUUUUAUUUCCUCGUAUCUUCUCUUUUUUUAGAGUACUCACCUCUUUAAAUAAUGUAGCAAGUGGUAGUAACCGAAAUAUCUUGAGCAUUUAUUUCACAGGGGAAAACAGAAAUAGGACAAUGUUUUUGGCUAUUCUCUCCCGGAUUAGGAGUAGAAUAUUUUUGGGUAAAUCUGGAUAUGGAAAUGAGUGGAUGUAUGUGGAUGCGUACUUCCAGAGUAGAAGCAGCAUGUGUGAGUGAACGUGCAAGUGAAUCUUGAUUUAACCACAUGAUAAGCUCCUAAGGGUCUACACAGCUUGACCACACUUAAUGCUCAUAAGCAGUAAAAAGUAAAUGAAUGGUUCAUAGUCUAAUAAGCAUGUAUAUAUGGCUGUGAUACGAAUUUAAACUCUCAUCAUACAGGAACUCAUCAUGUUAUAUUUUAAAGAUUUUCAAAGAUAAAAUUCUCCAGAAUUAUAGCAUCUCUAGGAACAGAUAAACAGCAGCUCAACCUUCCCAUAUCAUAUCCGUUAACAACUUAGACUUUAGAUCAAGUACUCUUCCCACAAGUUCAGGUUUAGAGCAAAUCUUAAUUAAUAAUAGUCAUGUCUAAACUUGAGAGAGAUUUCAAUUUUGAGAACUAGUCAUGGCAGAGCAACUAUUCAUCAUUUCCAUGUGAGAGCUUAUCAUGAGGGUUCAUAACAAACUUUAUUUAUUUAUUUAUUUAGCAAACUAAGCAAAUAUAUAUAUAUAAGCACAAAAUCUUUAUUUGGGUUUUUAUGAUUAUGCAUCUUUUUAUUAUUUGAGUAAAGUAUAAACAUGAGUAGAACACUUAGCUGGAUAAAUGGGGGUGCUCUCCGCCAAGCUGGAUUUUGACGUAAUUUCUUCUGAUGUAGCUAGCAAGUGGCGGAGGUGUAUUUGAAUGUCGACAGCACCAUGACAGCGAUUAGGAUGUCCUUCGUCUGCUAGUCUUCUUUGAUCCUUGAAUUCAGUGGAGCUCAAAUAGACAACAAAGCUUUGUGGAACUGGUUAAGUGUUAGCAUAAAAAUCUCUUUGCCUUUAUCAUGUUAAGCCUCCUCAAUAAAUGUUACUUUCUUUGGUAGGAUCAUAAAUUUAUUUUUAUAUUUUCAUUUUUAUAGGACAGGAAUAUUUUUAUUUUUACGCCACCAAAUGAAUAUACUUAUGGGUUUUAUGCCACGAGCAUACUUAUAUAGGGCUUACUGUUUUUAACAUUUCUAAUUUCUAUUCAAGAUAGCAUAAUUAACUAACAGGCUAUUUAAGGAAAAUAAAUAAUUUAAGAAAAAAGAAAAUGCAUAAAGGAUAAAUAUGGAUAACUACUGAUUUUACCUUCCGGCGAGGGUUCGAUGUUUUAAGUCUUCUUAACAAGACUUCUCACCAUGUUCAUUCUUUAGUUGCGUCAUUUGAUUCAGGUGUGGACCUUGACGUCUGCACCUCUUGAUACGGUGUCACCCAUGUUCUUCGUUUGCCCAGCAGUUCGAAGUGCGGCAUUGGUAGCAUCCUACUCAGUGUGUUUGUGCUCGUAGAUCUAGGUCCUUCACUUGGUGGAAUUUGGGAGUUGUAAAACUCCACCAUGUUUUGCUCCAAGUGUACCUGCUCAUAGAGACAAGGCAAAGAUCAAGUGCAUGGGCCCUGCUGGUGGAAAACGCCAACAUAACCAAAAGUGUAUUUGUUCUUCUCCAACCUUAAGCACAGUGAGCAAGACAAAGUUGAUGGAUGUUGGGUAUUUUAAACGCAAACAAAAAAAUCCGCAAGCGCACGGAUACCGAUGUAGCUUUCACCCAGAAGUAUUCCAGUGUAUCGAUUUUCCACAGAGAACGUGAGUGUACUAAUUAAGAUCCAAGAUCGCCCAAGGAUAACUAUAUAAUUAUUUUUGGUAGGAAGAGAGGAAGUUUCCUGAGAGUUCUCUAGUUGAUCUAAGAAUCAAGAAUUACUUCAAGAUUAUCUAUAUCGGGACAUCAGAGCACUAACCACAGAAAGAGAUGAGAAGGGGGCUAGGAAGGUCUGACUACGGUCCUACAAACACCGAUCCGAACGUGGUGGAAUACGUCGACCGUUAGGGCUGUCACUACCCUAAGGCUACCACAACAAUCCGCAGGAUUGGGUGCAAUUCCAGGUAAUCGCAAGACUAAACAUCACGUCUAAUCUAUUAAUUACUACUCUAGCGUUAUAAAGACUAGAGCACUUGAUGCAAGCGGGAAUCCAAUAAAUAACUUGAAUGUAAAUAAAAGUAAUUAAAGAACUCAGGAAUUGUGAAUUGAAGAACCUGGAGAACGAUGAAGAACGAACCAGUUGCUGCAAAAGUAUAAUGUUGAGGAAGAUCCGACAGAUCCGGCUCCUCCUCCUCUGCUCUCCUCUUCUCUCACCCUAUUUUCUAGAUUACAACUAGAACUAACUAGAACUAGAACUAGAGGAACUAGAACUAGAACUAGAUGAACUAGAACUAGAUCUAGAUGAACUAGAGGUAGAACUAGAAGAACUAGAGGGAUCCUCUCUACUUGGUUGAAGAAUUGAAACCCUAGCUUUGAUUCUGUAGAAGAGGUAUGAUCUCCAGGGGCCAGGGGAGUCUGGUUUUAUAGUCCCUUCAAGUGAAUCUGGGCCGUCGGAUCAAACCGACAUUGAUCGUGUGGUUUUCCUUGAUCCUUUAGGUCGGUGGAGUGUUGUCCCUGAAUUGGACUCUGUUUGGUCCAGGGGGGAGGGCGGGCGCCCAGUAAGGGAGGGCGGGCGCCCAGUGCCCGGCUCCGUUACAUCUCCCGUUCGGUCCCGUGGCUUCUGGAGUCUUCUAGAUGAUAGAAAAUUGCGCGGCACGUUAAUAUCUCUAUGUAAACCCGACGUGUGGGCCUUUUUUCCGUAUUUCCUGAUAACUCCCUGCAGAAAUAGACAAACACCAAAACUUGUGGAAUUCUGUCAGAUAAAACCCUAAGUCUAGGUGUUGGUUGCAUUUGGAUCCUUUUCUAUGAUUAGUUGAUGGUUAAAUGUGAGCAUUAAGGACCGUCAACAAGCUCCCCCAAGCUUAACCUUUGCUCGUCCCUGAGCAAAGAUGAACUCAAGAGCUUCUGCAGUGGUUUCAUAACUUAAAGAUACACAUGCGUUUAAACAAGAUCUCAUCUCUAGGUUAGGGUAAACUGUUAAGAUUUAAAACUUACUCAUUUUACCUUCCACCAUGGGGCUUGCAACCGUCACUUGUGUCUUGAGCAGUUAAAAGAUAGAACGGUCAAGUCAAGCACCAUGUCUCUUGUUCUUUGAUCAACUAUAGCUCUAGAGUUUUUGCAGAUUUUCAAAUAAAACUCAGAGAUUCCUUGUAUGACUCUCUCUAGUCUCUCAUUUGUGGUAUUUCUGGAUCUUUACCAAGGCAGUAAUGGUAUAUGCCUUCUCUCAAAGUAUGUGGUAUUUGUGGUAUAAGGCAUAGUGACAUUGCCUUCUCUCUCACCCUACUCUAAUAAGGCUUUUGAUAUCUGGAGCUCAGAGGUGGGAGACAGCUAAUACAUACUUACAAGACAUUUAUUGCAUAGUCAAACCAUGGAUCCAAAAGAACAAGUCAAUAAGUCAAAUCAAGAUGUGCAUGUGUGGCGAAUGAAUGGUGUAUGGUGAUGAUGGUGAUAAUAAUGGUGAAAGUCUAAUUCUUCUUAUGCUCUUUUGAGGGGAUACAUACCUUUCUUGCACUUUUGAAACUUUUUGAGGAGAAUGAGAUGCUCUAUAUUAUUAUUUUUUUUUCUUUUCUCUCAGGUGGGUAUCUUGUACCCCUAAUUCUACUGUCGGACACUUGUCCAUUUUUACCUCUCGUCUCACUUUUUCUUCUUUUUUUUCUUUCAAGGUUCCGGGCACUUGCCCCUUUUUAUUUCCUCGUAUUCUUCUUUUUCUUCUCUUUUUUUCUUUAGAGCACUCGUCUCAUGAGAUAAUAUAGCAAGUGGUAGUAACAAGAUAACUUGAGCAUUUAUUUCACAGGGAAAAAAUAAAAAUAUUUUUGGCUAUUCUCUCCCGGAUUAGGAGUAGAAUAUUUUUGGGUGGUUCUGGAGAUGGAAAUGGGUAUAUGUGGAUGGUACUUCCAGAGUAGAAGUAGCAUGUAUGAGUGAACGUGCAAGUGAAUCUUGACUUAACCACAUGACAAGCUCCUAAGGGUCUACACAGCUUGACCACACUCAAUGCUCAUAAGCAGUAAAAAGUAAAUGUGUGGCUCAAAGUCUAGCAAGCAUGUAUAUAUGGCUGUGGUAGGAAUUUAAACUCUCAUCAUACAGGAACUCAUCAUGUGAUAUUUUAAAGAUUUUCAAAGAUAAAAUUCUCCAGAAUUCUAGCAUCUCUAGGAACAGAUAAACAACAGCUCAACCUUCCCAUAUCAUAUCCGUUAACGACUUAGACUUCAGAUCAAGUACUCUUCCCACAAGUUCAGGUUUAGAGCAAAUCUUAAUUAAUAACUGUGAUGCCUAAACUUGAGAGAGAUUUCAAUUUUGAGAACUAGUCAUGGCAGAGCAACUAUUCAUCUUUCCAUGUGAGAGCUUAUCAUGAGGGUUCAUAGCAAAUUUUAUUUAUUUAUUUAUUUAGCAAACUAAGCAAAGAUAUAUAUAUAUGCACAAAAUCUUUAUUUCGGUUUUUAUGAUUAUGCAUCUUUUUAUUAUUUGAGUAAAAUAUAAACGUGAGUGGAAUACUUAGCUGGAUAAAUGGAGGUGCUCUCCCCCAAGCUGAAUUUUGACGUAAUUCCUUUUGAUGUAGCAGGUGGCGGAGGUGUAUUUGAAUGUCGGCAGCACCCUGACAUUGAUUAGGAUGUCCUCCGUCUACUAGUCUUCUUUGAUGCUUUAAUUCUGUGGAGCUCAAAUAGACAACAAAGCUUUGUGGAACUAGUUAAGUGUUAGCAUAAAUAUCUAGCCUUUAUCAUGUUGAGCCUCCUCAAUAAAUGUUACUCUCUUUAGUAGGAUCAUAAAUUUAUUUUUAUAUUUUCAUUUUUAUAGGACAGGAAUAUAUAUAUUUAUUUUUACGCCACCAAAGUAAAUGUACUUAUGGGUUUUAUGCCAUGAGCAUACUCACAUGGGGCUUACUAUUUUUAACAUUUUUAUUUUCUUUUCAAGAUAGCUUGAACCUGAUUAACUAAGCAAACUAUUUUAAAUAAUUGAAAGGAAAAAGAUAACUACCAAGUUUACCUUUUGGCAAGGCGUUCGGUGUUUUUACGUCCUCCGAACGGGACUCUCCGUUUUCUUAGUCGUCCUGGAAUUCGCUGGAUGGCGUAGUCGGUGGUUCCGGCGGUGCCUGCUCUUCGUGUAUAACUAUCUUCUCUCUCUACACCUGCCUCGGUGCUACGGUCUCCUCAGGACAGUUCUAUUCAAGUUGUAUAUCUUCAGACCUUACAACUUCUCCUUCAUAGUCUACCCAUCCGUCCUUGAUGAUUUGCCUCCUCUGGUUGCGGUUGCGUCGUCUUCUUCUUGUCCUGACCUGCUUAGAGUCUUUAACUAUAUAGUUAGAGUCAGUAAAAUAGCGGCGUACCUUCUCAGAGGGGAAAUGCAUGUGGACUUCUCUGGUUCCAAUGUAGAUGAUUGCUUUAACGGUGUUGAGGAACAGUCUUCCAAGGAUGACGGGUGGAUUGUACUCGUCUUCUCCCAUGACAAUAACCUUAAAAUCAUCUGGAGCUGAAUGUAUGUUGGUUGUAGGGGCAUGGUUCCAUGCAGGAGUUGAUAAGUGACUGCGGCCAUUAUGUUGAUGUUAGAUCCGGUGUCGUAGAGUGUCUUCUGAAAAGAAUAUCCAUUGAUUGUGCACUCGAUGCUUGGAACACCAGGGUCGUCCUUCUUGAUCAAGAAAGGUGACUUGAGUUGACGAUCUUGACCUCCUUGAGCUGCAGCGACCAUCUUAGCUGACUCGGUACACAUUUGCUUGUUCCUAUUCCUCCUGUUGGUCCUCUUCCUUGGUUCAUGUCGGGAUUGCUCUGAGAUUUGUAUAGUCUUGUUCUUGAAGGAAAACAUCUCCUUCCUUCCCUUCAUGUAGAAACUGAUCUUGGCAGCACUAGCGUAGAUGAUAGCUCCCGAGGUGUUCAGGAAUGGCCUCCCUAGAAUGAUGGGUGCCCUCUCAUCAGUACCAGUCUCUAUCACUACGAAGUCUGCUGGGACGUACAAGGUACCAACUCGGACGUAGAGGUUCUUCAAUAUUCCCCUAGGCAUAAUGUUGACGCUCGAGCCAAAGUUGUAGAGUGCUUCUAGGAAGUCCACCAUGCCGAUGGAGAUCGGGAUGACGGGGCGUCCUGGAUUGUCUCUCUUGACCGGCAGAAGGUCAGUAAUUACUUCCACAACGGGGUUACUCCAGUAGUUACGUCCUCAAGCAUCUCAGGGCAGUGAUUGCCUGAGUAACCAGUAUCUCUAGUGUGUUUGUGCUCGUAGAUCUAGGUUCUUCACUUGGUGGAGUCUGGGAGUUAUAAAAGUCCUUCAUAUUUUGCUCGAAGUAUACCUGCUCAUAGAGACAAGGCAGAGAUCAAGUGCAUGGGCCCUGUUGGUGGAAAACACCAACAGAACCAAAAGUGUAUUUAUUCUUCUCUAACCUUAAGCAUAGUGAGCAAGACAAAGUUGUUGGAUAAUAAGAUCAUGAGUGUAGCAUUUAAAACAUUUGUCAGAUCAGAUCGCUUAACCUAAUGGAAAGAUAAUCAAUCUAUAUUUAUGUUGUUUUUUAUAUAUCUUCCAUAGAUUGAGUGUGCAAUAUUUUAGUUCAUAUGAUUAGGAGUGUGGGAUCACAAAGGUGGAAGGACUAAACAUAUUGAAUCGAUCGGGUUGGUUAAUCUAGAGUAGUAAAUCAUACAUGUUUGUCUCUUUUAUUCAUGUGAACGCCAGAACCAAGGAGAAGCUUAUAGAAGUGAUAGUCAAGUACCUUAAGAUGUUACCUUACUUGAAGAGUGAUGGUACAGUAUCACCUUGUGGAAGCUUUCCUUUCUUCGCGGUUGUGCAUCGUGUUUGUGGCACCCUCCAUGGAUCAUCUCUUGUGAGCUUUGCAUUCCUUGUGUAAAUUGUUAACCUUCAUGUGUCUCUCUAUUUGUCUCCAAUGUGAGUUUAUCUCAAGACUUCCCAGGUCGAUAUUGAAAGUUUUCCUGCAGGGGUUAGUCCAAUAAAAUAUCCAAUAUCUACUAUAGCAUACUAUCGGCUCAAAAAUCAAUCUAGACACCAUGUCUAAUUUGAUUUAGGAGGGAAUUUUAACCUAAGCAUCAUGCUUAAUUUAAAAUCCUUUGGAAGUAAGAGCAUCAUUCCUAAACUAAGCACCAUGCUUAAUUAAGAGAUAAAUGAAACUACUCCAAACCUAGACAUAUACUAAAGCAAAUAAAGGUAGCAUGAGAGCAUUUAUAGAGAUCUACUCAAGUGGAGAUAAAGUAGUGUGAUUAGUAUUUAACAAAUUGAGCAUGUCUCAAAGGUAGGGACAACCAACAUAGCAACAUGGCAAAGGAUGUUUUUAUGUAAAGUAUUCCCCCAAGCUUGAAUUUUGCAAAAUUCAAGUUUGGAUUAAUUUAAUUCAAUGUUGUAUGAUGAUUGGUUGGACAUACCUUGUGCUUGUCAUUCAUCUGAUCUUCUUGUUCCAAUCCUGGAAUGGUUAGUGACAAGAAUACCCGAAGGAAUUUUUCUACAAUUAUCUUUAUAUGCUCAAUACACAAGGCAAUGUUGCAAAUAAUUAAAAGCUCAUGUUACAAUUUGAUCAGUGCUUGUUUUAGGACACUAAGCUUGUCCUUGGGAAACCAUUAAUUUAAGUCGGCGAAGUGGUUUCCCCUCCAACGCUGACCUAUAUCGAGAUCUGCAAUAUUUAAUAUAGACAUAUGCAUCGACAACCGCCCUUUUAAAGUUUUUAUGAAUAGAAAGGAAGAGGGGGUUGGAGAUCUCGAAUGUGGUGAUGUUGGAGAGACCAAUGGAUUGUGAAGAUGUUGCAUAUGAGCAUGGAGUAAAUGAAGUGGCUAUGAAAUAAAUUCCAUGCUCAUUAAUGCUUAGAGUGAAAUCCAUGUGGUAUGGUGAAAGUGAUAAGGUGAGUGUGGUAAAAAAGGAAAAGAAAAAGGAUACACGGAUGACUUGGUUCGAAACUAGCACAGCUACCGUUCCCCGGCAACGGCGCUAGAAAGCUUGUUGGGUAUUUUAAACGCAAACAAAAAAAUCCGCAAGCGCACGGAUACUGAUGUAGCUUUCACCCGGGAGUAUUCCAGAGUAUCGAUUUUUCACAGAGAAUGUGAGUGUACUAAUUAAGAUCCAAGAUCGCCCAACGAUAACUAUAUAAUUAUUUUUGGUGGGAAGAGAGGAAGUUUCCUGAGAGUUCUCUAGUUGAUCUAAGAAUCAAGAAUUACUUCAAGAUUAUCUAUAUCGGGACAUCAGAGCACUAACCACAGAAAGAGAUGAGAAGGGGGCUAGGAAGGUCUGACUACGGUCCUACAAACACCGAUCCGAACGUGGUGGAAUACGUCGACCGUUAGGGCUGUCACUACCCUAAGGCUACCACAACAAUCCGCAGGAUUGGGUGCAAUUCCAGGUAAUCGCAAGACUAAACAUCACGUCUAAUCUAUUAAUUACUACUCUAGCGUUAUAAAGACUAGAGCACUUGAUGCAAGCGGGAAUCCAAUAAAUAACUUGAAUGUAAAUAAAAGUAAUUAAAGAACUCAGGAAUUGUGAAUUGAAGAACCUGGAGAACGAUGAAGAACGAACCAGUUGCUGCAAAAGUAUAAUGUUGAGGAAGAUCCGACAGAUCCGGCUCCUCCUCCUCUGCUCUCCUCUUCUCUCACCCUAUUUUCUAGAUUACAACUAGAACUAACUAGAACUAGAACUAGAGGAACUAGAACUAGAACUAGAUGAACUAGAACUAGAUCUAGAUGAACUAGAGGUAGAACUAGAAGAACUAGAGGGAUCCUCUCUGCUUGGUUGAAGAAUUGAAACCCUAGCUUUGAUUCUGUAGAAGAGGUAUGAUCUCCAGGGGCCAGGGAGGUCUGGUUUUAUAGUCCCUUCAAGUGAAUCUGGGCCGUCGGAUCAAACCGACAUUGAUCGUGUGGUUUUCCUUGAUCCUUUAGGUCGGUGGAGUGUUGUCCCCGAAUUGGACUCUGUUUGGUCCAGGGGGGAGGGCGGGCGCCCAGUAAGGGACGGCGGGCGCCCAGUGCCCGGCUCCGUUACGUCUCCCGUUCGGUCCCGUGGCUUCUGGAGUCUUCUAGAUGAUAGAAAAUUGCGCGGCACGUUAAUAUCUCUAUGUAAACCCGACGUGUGGGCCUUUUUUCCGUAUUUCCUGAUAACUCCCUGCAGAAAUAGACAAACACCAAAACUUGUGGAAUUCUGUCAGAUAAAACCCUAAGUCUAGGUGUUGGUUGCAUUUGGAUCCUUUUCUAUGAUUAGUUGAUGGUUAAAUGUGAGCAUUAAGGACCGUCAACAAUGGAUACUAAGAUCAUGAGUGUAGCAUUUAAAACAAUUGUCAGAUCAAAUCGCUCAACCUAAUGGAAAGAUAAUCUAUCUAUGUAUAUGUUUUUUUAUAUAUCUUUCAAAGAUUGAGUGUACAUCAUUUUAGCUAAUAUGAUUAGGAGUGUAGGAUCACAAAGGUGGAAGGACUAAACAUGUUGAAUCGAUUGGGUUGGUUAACCUAGAGUUGUAAAUCAUACAUGUUUGUCUCUUUUAUUCAUAUGAACGCCAGAACUGAGGAGAAGCUUAUAAAAGUGAUAGUCAAGUACCUUAAGAUGUUACCUUACUUGAAGAGUGAUGGUACAGUAUCACCUUGUGGAAGCUUUCUUUCUUAGCGGUUGUGCAUCGUGUUUGUGGCACCCUCCAUGGGUCAUCUCUCUAUGAUGAAUGAGCUAUGUUCUUUUUGUGCAAAUCGUUACACUUCAUGUGUCUCUCUCUCUUCAUCUUUGAUGUGAGUUUAUCUCAGGACUUCCCAUAUCGAUAUUGAAAGUUUUUUCUGCAGGGGUUAUUCCGACAAAAUAUACCAAUGUCUACACAAGCAGUUUUUAGUUCAAUAACCGAACUAGACUCCAUGUCUAAUCAGAUUAAGGAAGGCUAUUUAACCUAAGCACCAUGCUUAAUUUAAAAGCCAAUAGAAGUAUGUGCAGUACUUCCAAACUAACACUUACUAGGAUAAACAAAGGUAGCGUGAUGACAUUUAUAGAGAUCUACUCAAGUGGAGAUGAAGUAGUGUGAUUAGUAUUUAACAAAUUGAGCAUGUCUCAAAGGUAGAGACAACCAACAUACCAACAUUGCAAAGGAUGUUUUUAUGUAAAGUACUCCCCAAGCUUGAAUUUUGCAAAAUUCAAGUUUGGAUGAAUUUAAUUCAGUGUUGCAUGAUGAUUGGUUGGUCAUACCUUGUGCUUGUCAUUCAUCCGAUCUUCUUGCUCCAAUCCUAGAAAGGUUAGUGACAAGAAUACCCAAAGGAAUAUUUUCACAAUUAUCUUUAUAUGCUCAAUACACAAGGUAAUGUUGUAAAUAAUUAAAAGCUCAUGUUAUGAUCUGAUGAGUGCUUAUUUUAGGACACUAAGCUUGUCCUUGGGAAACCAUCAAUUUAUGUCCGCGAAGUGGUUUCCCUUCCAACGCUGACCUAUAUCAAGAUCAACUCAACGAGAUCUGCAAUAUUUAUUAUAGACAUAUGCAUCAACAACCGCCCUUUUAAAGUUUUUAUAAAUAAAAAGGAAGAGAGGGUUGUAGAUCUCAAAUGUGGUGAUGUUGGAGAGACCAAUAGAUUGGGAAGAUGUUGCAUAUGAGCAUGGAGUAAAUGAAGUGGUUAUGAAAUAAAUUCCAUGCUCAUUAAUGUUAUCUUCAUCUCCAAUCUGAAUGUUCGGGGUUUCUCCUGGAUUGGUCUCACCUAUGUCCUCUUCUCUAGUUGGAUGAAUCUCAUCUUCAAAGGGAGUCAAGAGCUCACCAUUUGAAAUUGAGCCAAAGUCAGAAUCCAUUAAGGCUUCUUCCUUAUCCAUCCAUUCUACACACUCUAGCCAUUUAGAACUUGUGAUCAGGAAAGGGGAGGUGUUAGAAUUUUCUAUAUGGCUUAGCUCUCCUUCUAUGACAUUACUUGACAUGUCAUCCUCAUGGUCUUUAUGACUCCUAUGGUUUGAUCGUCUUGAUAUAUUGUUAGGAUCAUCAUGAGACUUAAAAGGAGAGGGAUAAGAGGGGUCUCUAAGGUCAAGGAUGGAUUUAGAAUUUGUGAACAUGGAAGGGGAGCAGAUAGAAUCUUCUAUAUGGUUUAGCUCUCCUUCACUUGAUAUGUCAUCCUCGACUUCUUCAUAAUAGGAACCAGGACAUUCUCUAAGAUAACCAUCAUUGCAAUGAUUUGAAUUAUCUAUGCUUGAAAGUCUCUUAUGGAACCAAAGUCUAAACCAUCAGUAUCUGAAAGAUUUAAGGUUGGAAUUCCUUCCUCCCUUGGGAGAAUUUUGGGGUAUUGAUGGUUUAGGAUCGAUAGCUAAAGUUUGGGAUUGAAGUGUUUGUGAUCUGGCUAUCGAAACUUCUUCUUCUUGUCUAGGAACUGGUUCUUUCUCUUUCUCAUGGAUAAAAAAGGUAGGAAACUUUUCACUUAAUGAAUCAAUUAAAUCUCUAGCUUCACUAGCAGGCAGGUGAUAGAAGGAUCCUCUAGAGGCCGUAUUCAAGGUUUUCUUAUUUUCCCUACUAAGGCCCUCAAAAAAGUGAAUGAGAAGAACUUCUUCUGGAAUAGAAAGCUUUGGGCCAGUGAGAGUAAGGUUAAUAAAGCGGUCCCAUGAUUUUCCAAGAGAUUCUUCUUCCAGUUGUCUAAAAGAAAUAAUCUCCCGCCGAAGUUCUGCCACUUUGGAGAUUGGAAAAUAUUUAAAAAGAAAACUAUUAUAUAAGUCCUUCCAAUCUCCAUGAACACUCCCUACUUUGAGUUUGUACCAAUGUCUAGCUUUUCCUGUUAAAGAGAACGGAAAGAGCUUCCAUUUAAGGGUCUCAUCAGACAUGCCUUCAAUGUGAAGGAGGUCACAGACUCGAUAAAACUCUCUUAGGUGUGUGUAUGGGUUUUCCUCACCUUCUCCUGAGAAAGGUUGUUUUUGAACAAAUUCUAUGUAUUCGGGGUCUAUCUCAAAACUAGAUGCUAUGAUAGGCUUUGAAGAUUUUGGUGGUUCGAGAUGUGUGCCCGUAGGUCUAUGAAAUUCAUAGAUAGACAUGUUUGCCUUCAUGAUAGACCAGAGAUCAAGGAUUAGAUAAGAAGAAAGAACAGCAGAGAUAAGGCAAAUGAUAAAAGGAAAAAUAUAUUUUUUUUAUUUUUUUAGAAAAUGAUUAAGCUAGUUCGUAGUCAACUCAGCAACCAUUUCCCCGGAAACGGCGCCAAAAAUGCUUGUUGACACUUGCUAACACUACUUGAAUACUAGGUAGUCAUCCGUAGCAUGGCACUAGAGUGUACUAUGGUAUUUAUACGCACACAGAUAAAUCCGCAAGCGCACGGAUACCAUUGUAGCUUUUACCCGGUUAAAGGUUUUAUCGUAUCCACAGGGAAACGGGAGAACUGAUCUAUGCUCUAACUUAACCUAGAUAGAUAGGUAGGUGUAAAUAGGAAAGAUGGUAGAAUUGAGUAAGAACAAUAUUCAAGGUAAGAUAACAAUGGGUGAUAAUAUGGGAAUAGAGAGUAGGGCAAUCUAGUAUAUGCGUGAUGGUAGGAGAACAGAGAGGAUAACUAUGGUUUCUCUACAUCAAAGAGGUAUGUCUAUGUCUAGGACAAACCACAUGGUAAGAAUACACCACAAAGGAUGCUUAUCCAUAGGCCGAUAAACCCUACCAGUCCUACUAACGGGAGGUGGACUACAGGGGACCAACGUAACUGUCACCUACGCGGCCUGCCACACAAUCCGGCUAAACAGGGGAUAUCCACAAGUAAUCUAGGUCUAAGCACCACGCUUACACAUAUACUACAACUCUCACCUAUAGCGUCCUAUAGAUUAAAGUACUCAAAAGAGUUGUCAACCAGAACAUACAUGGAUAGUAAUUGCAUAAUGAAAUAGAAGUAGAUUACCAGAGUCAUCCCACGAGCAAGCUUGAUUAGAGCUUAAUCAUGGCGAAGUAUAACCGGAGGAAGAACCGACAGGCCGGCCUCUCCUCCAAUCCUCCCUCGCUCUCCAUCUCGCUACUAUCUAGAUCUACUCUAGUUUAGAGAAGAGAGGAGAGCUCUCAUCUCCAAACCCUAGCUUUUGUUCUGUCUAUGAAUAAUGAAUAAGGAUGAAGGGGUUGCCUCCGCCAGGGGCUAGGGGGCCUGCUUAUAUAGUCACCUCAAGUGAAUCUGGGCCGUUGGAUCAAACCGACAUUAAUCACACGGUUUUCCUUGAUCCUUUAGGUCAGUGGACCAUAAUCCACGAGAUUGAUCGUGAUUGGCUGAAAAAGUAGGGCGGGCGCCCUGUCCCUGAGCCCACUCGGCUUCCCGUUCGUUCCCGUGGCUUCUGGAGUCUUCUAGAUGAUAGAAAAUUGCGCGGUACGUUAAUAUCUCUAUGUAAACCCGACAUGUGGGCCUUUCCUCCAAAUUUCCUGAUAACCCCCUGCAGAAAUAGAGAAACACCAAAACUCGUGGAAUUCUAUCAGAUAAGACCCUAAGUCUGGGUGUUGGUUGCAUUUGAAUCCUUUUCUUUAUUUAUUUGAUGAUUAAAUUUGGUACUUAAGGACCGUCAACACUCCUACGGCGGGGUCAUAAAGAGAAUCCACAGGUGUCCUGCUUAUGAGACAACGAAUGGUUGUGAAAUAGGAGAGAAGCCUGAUAACAUCAGACGACACUUCUGACUCCUUCAGCCAUUCGCUGCUCAUAACAGUCAUGAGCUCUUGACUAGUUGCUUUGAGGUAACAAGCCUCUAAGCGAGAAGAUACUUGCUCUUUUGGAGUGUUGUGGUUUCUCUUUUGCACAGGUUGUUUCGAGAUGUUGCCAUAAUCGGUGAAAAGAUCCAUCUUGAUGUUAAGAGGAUACUCCAAUGGAUGAAUCACUUCUUCCUUUGGAGGUAUUUGGGAUUGUGGUUUAGGCUCGACAGCUUGUGAUGUGGCUAUUGUAGGGUCAGCUGAUGAGGUUUCAUCCCUAGGGGCUUGGUCUUCCUCAGGGGCAUCACUAUGGUCAUCAGUGUAGGGGGUGUUGUCUAGUAUGGUUGCUAGGACCACCCUACCUUCACUAAUGGGUAAAUGAAGGAAUGCUCCCUUCGAGGCUAGAUCAAGGAAUUGUGUGGAACUUUGCCUAAGACCGAGAUAGAAAUGCUGCAUUAGCGUUGGCUCGGUUAUGGCUAAGUCUGGGCCUGAGGACACUAAGUUUGUGAUUCGUGCCCAAGCCGCACCUAGAGAUUCCUUCUCUUCUUGCUGGAAGUUUACAAUCUCUCUACAGAGACAAGCCACACGAGAAAUGGGGAAGUAGGUAAGGCAAAACUUGGCUUACAGCUUCUCCCAUUCUCUGUCUACGCUACCUACAUAGCAAGAGUACCACCGUCUGGCUUUUCCCAUCAAAGAGAACAGGAAGAGAUUCCACUUACACAGCUACAGAAAACAUUUUUACAUACGAUGCUAAAAGCAUCUUCAUAGGUGGCCAAGUCCAUCGCCUGUACCGGGGGUCAUUACAAAAUGGACCACAGUACAGGCGGGGUAGUGUGAGCCACCUAUGGAAAUUGGGUUUUCACAGGCAGCUCACCUAGUCAGCCGCCUAUGUAAAUGUAUUUUUACACAAGCGGCUGACAAGGUGAGCCGCCUGUGAAAACCCAAUUUUCAGAGGCGGUUCACACUACACCGCCUAUGUAAAUAAUUUUUUAUAUAUAUUUCAAAUUUUAAUUUUUCCCACCACACAUAGUGCUAAACAUCAUAUAUAUAUACACAUCAUACAUACACCACAUAUAUAUAUUAUAGAAUUGUAAACAUGAAAUCAAACAUGAACCAUAAAAUUACAUAUAUAUAUAUACACGUCAAUGCAUGUUAUCCGCACAACCAUACAGUGUUUACAUGUCAUUUCGCUUCAGAUUUAGACCUGCUAUGUUUGUCAGCACUCUAAAUUUAUCACUUGCUAAAUCUUCCUCAUGAUCAAAAUAUGCACAGUCACUUAGAAUUAUUUCUCUCAUAAUAAAACCGCACAAGUCUGCUACUAUAUCUUCUAGAGUCUUUGGUGUAAAGGGCACAUCCUUUCCGUGCUUUUUCGGCUGGAAACAAAGUUUAAAAGCAUGAUUGAGACAUGUUCAAUGUAUACUUUUGCAACUUUAAUAUGAAAACUUCAUAGAUAGAUAUUAUUUACCAUAUUUUUGUCCCUUACGUAAUAUCCCCGCUGCCUUAUAAACUCACAGACAUAGUACCCACAAUAGACUGAUCCAGGUGGUUGCUUGUGGCACUAUAUUAUGAGCAACAGAUUAUACUAAACUUGCCAUGCCUUAUGUAUUAUUUAUAUGAUGAAAUGUGUUCGGACAACUUACCGGAUAGUGAUGUUGUAUCGUCAAUGGCAGCCUAGGAUCUGAGUGUGCGGCAUCGACCGGUCCUUUUUGUUUCUUAUAAAACUGCCAUGCCCUAUAGAUAUCGAAUAUAAAUCACUAAAGUUAUUUUGAAACUCUAAUUCAUAUAAGUACACAUGUGGUUUCAUAUUGGCUCACCUUUCUAAUUGAACCAAGAAUGGUUAAUACUUCUUGGGAGGAACAUUUAAAGAGUCUAGGACAAGCACCUUCCCUUUGAAGGGAUAGUUAUAAAAAACAAUCCAAUGGUCACUGCAUGAAUAAAUGAGUGAGCGACACAUGUAUAUUGUUUACACAAUAAUUUGAAGUACGUAUAUGAAGUCAAGCUUACCUAAAGUUGUAAGGUGCCAAUAUAAAAUCCCUGUACUUAUACCUCAGCAUUGAUCUACCAAGAUAGAGGGCAUAUUUUUUGUUGAUGCAAAAGUAGAUCUACAAACACAAAGGGCUAAUACCCAAUUCAAACGUUGAGGCAUGCCUGCCGAUUUGACCUUACAAUCGACAAAUGUGGUAACUCAAAUACUUUGGUGCCGACAACAGCGAUGCGCCCGGAUGCCACGGCCAAGAGGUAUUCAUGUGGAACUCGAGAACUCGUCGAGUAUGACUCGAUGAAUUCUUAAGAACUCGUAUGUAAAAGAAAAUAUGUAAGUUGAUGAAGUCGUCGAAAAUGUAGACGCAAAAGUAGACGUAAAACUUGUGUAUAGUAUUGAUUGAUUUUUCUCUUACAUUGCCGCUAGGCCCAUAUUUAUACUCUACUCUAAAGAGUUACAAUCGUAUACGACUAGGAUGUAAUUCUAAACCAAAUAGGAAUCGUACAUAAAACAAACUCUAACAACUAUGGAAAGUAACAACCUAUCUAUCUUUGCCAAUCAGCACACCACCAUUGCCUUCUUAGCAACUCCCAUGUCUCCCUUUGUUGUCAUCGGCAUAUUCCCUGCAUCCUUUCAUAAUCAUCGGCACACUCCUCUUCAUUAGCGUCGGCAAUCAUCAAUACCAGCAAUCAGCAUUACUCAGCAACCAUCACCAGACUCAGCAACAUCUUCUUCCUAUUGUUAUAUCAUCGGCAAUGUUGACCAUCGGUAAUCCUUCUAUCGGCCAUACACAUCACUUCUUUGACUACCGAUACUGACUACCCUGAUCCAAAAAUAGUGUCAACACAUGCCCCCCAAUUUCAGAGUAUGGAGUCAUUAAUGCUCCAAAAUUCUCUCCUGAUAAUGAUAACCUUUUCACAAUUAUUUCCUUCCGAUGACAAUUAAUUACCAAAUGCAAACAACUUUAUUUAUGAUCUCCAUCAUAUACCUCGAAUCUCUCAACCAUCCGAACCAAAUCUCCUAAACAUACGCUCAUCGGAAACUGUUCUGUUAGUGCUGGCUGCCGAUGAAUCGACCAAAAGAUCUUGCAAAGUGGGAUAUCUCCUAAAAUCAUGAUUACUCGCUGUCAAAUCACCUGCACAAUCCCUUGAUUACCGUGCGAAUAGUUACCAUAUCCAUCUGAACAACCUUGAAUUUCAUAGAUAUGGCAAAGAGAUAAUUAAAAAUACCCCUGCUCAUUUCAACCUAUAAAUAGAUCCUUCCUUAGUACUCAUUCUCUACAUUACCAUCCUCCAUCCCCAAACUUAUCUCUCUAGCGGCGGCAUUGACGAAGAACCCCGGUAGAACCUUCCCAAAAAUCUUCAAGCCUUCGACUUCCUCUGUCUCAGGAAGAAAUGGCCAUCAACUUCAUCGUCCCUGAGGUUAUUCUAUUCUCAUCUUCUUCUUCCUUUACUGCAACCCUUUACUUUUCGCAAGUCUACUUACUUAGCAUUUUUCUUUUCUUUUCUUUCUGUUUUACCAAUCUUCAAACUUUAGGAGUUGAGCGAGAAAAUCGUUAUUCCUACUGAACAACCCCACCUCCAAUGUCUCGGUCCAAUGGGUGAUCCAGAUCCCACCGAUCUGAUCAAUGCAAAAACCAAUAGGAUUCCUUUUAGGGCCGAGAAUUUUCUUUAGAUAUGGAAGGAUACUUUCCGAUCCUAGCCAAACCCCACCAAAGGAUGGAAAGACUAGUUUCUAAGAAUCAGUAAAACCAAUGAAUUAUGCUAGGGUGAAUGCAAAAUAGACCAGUGCAUCAGACUUUCCAUUGCCGAUAUGGAAAGAAAUAAAUCAAUGUUGAUAGCUACCUCAUACUUCUGGUCAGAUACUUUUAAUGCUUUUAUUUUCGGCCACGGCCCAGCUUCCCCUACGCUUGCCGAUGUGGUUGUGCUGACUGGUUUGGAUGUUGCCACUAUAGAUGAUCGUCAGUUAUUCGGACGCAAAGCCGAAUAUAAAGUAGAAACCCGCAACAUCGGUGGUUGGUCAGGAUAUAUUCAGAAAUAUCAACGAACGGGAUCAGUUAGUCAGAGAGAGCAUGCCACUUUUCUGAAUAUGUGGCUAGACAAAUUCAUCUUCUGCGGCCGAUCGGUAGCACCAACUUCUGUUUACUUAUCGGCAGCAGAAAGGUUAGCCGAUGGUAACCGAUUCACCCUGAGCCAAUAUCUGCUGGGUUCUGGCUAUCACCUCCUCCAUCAAGUAGCCGAGAAACUCCUGCUAGGUGAACCCAUCAGCAAUCUAGGAGGCCCCUAGUGGUUUAUCAACAUGUGGCUCAACGUUCAUAUGCACAAACAGUUUCGAUUUGACUUCUUCGCACAACAGUUCCCACGAGACAUCACCAAAGAUUAUGAACUGGCAGAUGAUGAAUCAGCAAUGCGCUCACCCCUCAAUUAUGGUGAAGCUGUUAUAGUCCUUCCUGGUACUGGCUCCAACGAGAACCAGAUCGGCCGAUUCUUUCAGACAUUGUAUGAUGGCCUAUCCAAAGAUCAGCGAGCAUGGAUGCCCUACGAAGAGCAAGAGUCUAGAUUUCCGCUCACUUUCCACCCCUUUGAUGAUGCUCUUAAUAAAGACAAUGACCUGAUGAUGGCAAUCAUCACCCCAAGAGCAAUCCCAGUAAACAGUUUUGGCAGCGGGAAGAACAUCAACACCACCUACGAGUUUUACAACCCAUCGGCACUAGCUCGCCAAAUGGCUUUCAGUCAGCUACCGAUCAGACUUUGUUAUGCCAAUGUUGUAAAACUGAGAGAGAUAAUAACCAGCGGACUUGAGUGGAUCAGAGUAGCCCAACUCUAGCCAGACGCCGAUACGACAGAUAUUGAUCUAUCGGCUUGGGUUCCAGCUCUCUUCAUCACUCAGUCAUACAAACAGUGGUGGGAAGAAUAGAAGGAGCAUCUGUUCUGGGUAUCGGCUCACAUGCAGCGCAACAUGAUUGACUUCAACUAUUAAGUUCCCAAUGAUGUUGUAAGUCCCUUGCCGAUACUUUAGUCCUUUUAUUAACUUUAACUUUAUCAGCAACUCACCCUUUUUCAUUUCAACAGGUUGAUGACCCAGCGCCAAUAGUAAGCAGAAGUGGGAGGCCGAUCGAACUUCUCCCAUCAGGCCCAAUCUCUCUGAUCGGCCACAACACCCCCAGCUUAGCAGCUCUGAUGCAUCGAAAUAUCAGCUUCAAAAAGACGACCACCAAACAGUCGAAAGUUUCUCCAUCGGUAGCUGCUACCACUUUGGCACAAGCUUUUAAGGUAAACUCUUAAUUCUCUCUAUUUAUACUGAUUUCAUCCCAUACUUACACUAUCUUUUUAGGGUACAUCGGCUGCAACAGGAACGUCAUCGGUAACUCUAUUUUGCACCAAAUUUUUAUAUAUAUAUUUUUUAGCAAAACUCCACCAAUACCUUUUCUUAUAUCUAACUCAUGAAAUUUUGGUUUCUUGUAACAGCAGACUGGUGCAUCGGCAAAGACCAAGAGUAUUCGAACAUCGGGUGCCGAUGCCCCCCAGCCCAGUCAAGCCCCACCUAAGAGAAAUAGUCCAAAGAGCACCAAGUCCCAGCCAAAGCGAUAGAAGACAACACCAUCCUCUCCACCUCACCCAGCAUCCCUGAUCCAAGUAGCACCCUCUCCUCCUCAAUCAGAGCCCCAGACGCAAGAAGUACCUCCUCCUGCACAAGCAGGCCCAGCCGAUGUGUGUGGCCAGACCACUGACCUAGUCGAUCUGGGCACAUUAUCGGUUGUUCCCCUUGAGUAGACAAUCGCCAUUCCCCGUCAAGGUAAAGUUCUGAUUACAAAAUCAUUACCGAUGAUUUCUUCUAUAAAUACCAUCAUCACCCUUGGCAAUUUUCAGUUGAUGAUAUUCCAUCAGUAGCUCUAGCCGAUCAAACUAUAGUACCAGCUGCAUCUCCAUGCCAGAGACAAGAAAUCUCAUUGAAGCAAGUAAGUCACCCAAUUCCCCAGAUUUGGCACCGUCAAUACUUAAUUUUUGGGUAACUUAUCUUUUCCCCUUUUAGGAGCAAGACUCUCCCGAUAGCCUAUUCUCUUUCGCUAUCGAUAUCUCUAAUGACUAAGGCGACGAAGCAAGCUCCUCAAAGGCACUUGGAAUCACAUCGACAGACAUUAAGACUAAGCUAGAAGAUCUACUAGCUAUGUUGCAUCAAGACCCAGCCUAGCUAUUGGAUGACUCUAAUCCAGCCAAGACUAUAUUCAAAACUCUCUGUGGUCAGAUUCGAGCCGAUGCUGAGGAGAUUCUUUUUCAAGCUGCCCACCUAGAAAGUCGCCAACUCCAGUAUCAGAAAGCCACUCAAUGCCUUGCCGAUAGAGCUACUCACGCGUAGCUCAAAAAGGAAAUGCUACAAGUGAAGCAUGUUGCCGAUGAGAAGCACAAGAGUUUCUAAUCCUCAGGCACCGAGUUGAAACAUAAAAUUUCUAAUCUAUCGGACAAAAGGGAGGCUUUGUUGGCCGAACUCAAGCAGGUGGAGGAAGCUCUGCCCAAGCCCAAGAGGAGGAAUGCCAACUACCUGAUGCACUCAAGAAACUUCAGCAAGAAAGAGAUGUCCAAGCUCGCAAAGCGCUGCACAUGAAGAAGAAGCUGAAGCCGGUGGAAGGUUCUGCCGAUGAAGACAACCGCAAGAUAGAGGAGGCCAACCAAAUUCGUCUGCGCGCAAUUAAUAUCGGCCAUCCAAACCUUGUUGAACCUGUGAACUUUUCAUCGGCAGCUUGUUUAAUUUCUUUCCCAAAACUUUGAUCAUUUGGUCCAGCCGAUAGGACUGUUAUCGGCAUUUAAACUCUUUAUGCAUGGCCCCAAAUACACUUGACAUUUUUUCAGCUGACAGGAUUGUUAUCGGCACUUAAACUUUUAUGUGUUAACCUAGACACUAGGGUAAUAUCUCUUUAAAUACUUUCCAUUCAAUGCUAUGGGAAAUUCAACUCCUUCGAGAGUCUCUAAAAUAUAAGCAUUGCCAGGGCAGAUCAAUUUAUCCGAUAAGGACCCUCCCAAUUGGGAGACCAUUUUCCAAAUUUUGAGCUUUUAGUCCCAAUCAGUAGAAUCAGUUCCCACACUAAAUCCCCAUCGGCAAAUUCCUUGGCUUUUACCUUUUUAUCAUACCAUUUAGCCACUCUCUUUUUAUUCUCCUCUAUGCUGAUUAAAGCUCUUAACCAAUGCCCUGCUAAAUCAUCCAACUCAUCUUUCAUCAAAGUAGUGUAAUCAUCGGCAGUUAACUAAUCCUGAGAAAACAUUCGCCUAGAACCAGUUUUAAUUUCCCAAGGCAGUUCUGCAUCAUGUCCAUAUACCAGUUGAUAAGGUGAUACUUUGGUCGAGCCAUAACCCGCCAUCCGAUACGACCACAAGGCUUCAUUCGUUUGUUAGAAGCCUCAACCUGCCCAUUAGCUUGAGCAUAAUAAGGAGAAGAAUUCAACACUUUAAUCCCCAUACCGAUUGCAAACUCAUCAAACUCUCCCGAUGUAAACAAAGUACCUUGAUUGGUAGUAAUUGUUUGGGGAAUGCCAAAUCGGUAAACAAUAUGUUCCACAAAAUCAAUCAUGUUGGCCGAUGUUACUUUCUUCAAAGGAAUAGCCUCAACCCAUUUGGUGAAAUAGUCAGUGGCAACAAGGAUGAACUUAUGACGUUUACUCGAUGGUGGAUAAAUUGGAUUGAUGAGAUCAAUAGCCCAAUCCCAAAACGGCCAAGGUUUAAUAAUAGAAUUCAAAUCUGAUGCUGGUGCCCUUUGAAUGUUGCCAAACUUCUGACAUCCUUGACAUCCUUUGAAAUACUUGAAACAAUCCUCAAGUACAGUUGGCUAGUAAUAUCUGUUCCUUCUAAUCAUCCACUUCAUCUUAAAAGCUAAUUGAUGCGCUCCACAUACUCCUUCAUGAAUUUCACCCAUCAAGCUUUUGGAUUCAUCCUCACCUAAACAUUUAAGCAAAACUCCAUCUAUUGUUCGAUAAUACAAUUCUUAUUCAAGGAGUACAUACUUUGUAGCUCGAAACCUAACACGCCUUUCAACUUUUUCUGGAUGGAUCUUUUAAAUAAUCAAUAAUUUCUUUUCUCCAAUCAUCGGCACUGAUUGCCGAUAAUAUUUCCAAGAUGGGUUGAUAUCUAGAGGCAUGUUGAGCCAAUCGGUUAGCUUCUUCAUUAUGUAACCGAGGAAUAUGCUCUAAUCAGAAAUCCCUGAACCCUUUCAAUAAUUGAACACAUUUUUUAUAAUAUUCUAUCAAAACUUCACUUCGGCAUUCAUAAAUCCCAGCCAACUGAUUUAUAACAAGCAUAGACUCACCAAAAAUUUCGACAGCGUCAGCAUGAACCUACUUCAAUAAUUCUAAUCCUUUGAUUAGGGCUUGGUACUCAGCUUGAUUUUUUGUCAACAUAGCAAAAAUCGGUAAAGAAAACUCAUAUUUCUUCCCUUGAGGAGAAAUCAACACUAUACCGAUACCUGCCCCUUGAUCACAUGUAGAUCCAUUAAAGAAGAGCGUCCAAGGAACAAUUUCCAUAGCAUCCACUACACCACAAUGCUGAGUUACAAAAUCGGCCAUGAUUUGUCCUUUGACUGCCUUAGCCGAUUCAUAACGUAAAUCAAAUUCCGAUAAUGCUAAUAUCCAUUUGCCGAUUCUACCACUCAUAAUCGGCAUUGAAAACAUGUAUCGGACCACGUCAUCUUUGCAUAUAACAGUGCAUUCAGCCAAUAGCAAAUAAUGUCUCAAUUUGACACAAGAAAAAUACAAGCAUAAGCACAAUUUCUCAAUUGACAAAUACCUUGUCUCAACAUCCACCAAUCUUCUACUUAGAUAGUAAAUUACGCGCUCCGUCCCUUCAAAUUCUUGAAUGAGAGCUGAACCGAUGACCGUAUCAUCGGUAGACAAAUAUAACCUGAAGGGCUUUCCAGGCUGAGGUGGAACCAAGACUGGAGGAUUUGCCAAAUAAUUCUUUAUUUCAUCCAAGGCUAACUGUUGCUCUUUUCCCCACACAAACUCUUGAUCAGCUUUUAAUUUAAGCAAGGGGCUGAAAGCACGAAUCUUACCCAAUAAAUUGGAUAUAAAUCAUCUGAUAAAAUUAAUCUUGCCGAUCAAUGAUUGAAGUUCAGUUUUAUUGGUGGGAGCAACUACUUUGCCGAUUGCAUCAAUGGAUCUCCUGCUGUUUUCAAUCCCUCUUUGAUGCACCAUGAAACCUAGAAACAGACUUGCCGAUACGCCAAAUGCACAUUUAUUGGGGUUCAUUUUCAAACCAUGUUUCUUUGUGCAUUCCAACACUUUUCGCAAAUCGGCUUGAUGUUUUGUGAAAUUCCCUGACUUAACUACCACAUCAUCAAUGUAGAUUUCCGCCAACUUGCCGAUGAACUCAUGGAAAAUAAAAUUCAUGGCCCUCUGAUAGGUAGCACCAGCAUUUUUCAAGCCAAAAGUCAUGACUAUCCAUUCAAACAACCCAACAUGACCAGGACACCUAAAUGUAGUCUUGGGAAUAUCCUCCUCGACCAUGAAUAUUUGAUUGUACCCUGCAUUGCCAUCCAUAAAACUAAUAAUCCGAUGUCCAGACGUAGCAUCAACUACCAAAUCGGCAACUGGCAUUGGAUAACCAUCCAUCGGCGUGGCUUUAUUGAGAUUCCCAAAGCCAAUGCAGACACGAAGCUUUCCAUUCUUUUUAUAGACAGGGACAACAUUGGAAGUCCAUUCGGCAUACCAACAUUGCCGAAUAUACUUGCUUCAAUAAGUUUGGUUAUUUCGGCCUUAAUAUUAGGAAGAAUAUUAGGGUUACAUCGAUAUGUUGGCUGCUGAUGUGGCAAAAAUCUAGAUUUAAUAGGCAACCGAUGUUCAACAAUUGAUCGGUAUAAACCAGACAUCUCGGUAUAAUCCCAAGCAAAGCAAUCUCUAUAUUUCUUUAACAAAUCGGUUAAUUGCUGCUUACAUUCAGAAUCUAACUUAGCACUAAUAAAGGUAGGCCUUGGCUUAUCGCCAUUAACUAUAUCUACUUCUACUAAAUCAUGUGCCGAUGUAAACCCCUAUCCUAGCUUUCCAUCAUCAGCGAACCUAUCCAUUAAAACUCUUUAUCAGAACCGACUACUUGGAUCGGUGGAAUUUCAUAACCGACAACCUUGAGAAAAUCUUUCUCCCAAACCUCUCCUAAUAUGCAUCUGGUCCGCUCAUAGGUAUCUGACUCCGCUGAUGCAAUGACAUAUGAAGAAUCUCCCGAGAAAAUCUCAAUUUUGUCACCUACCCAAUGAACAAGGCAUUGAUGCAUGUAGAAGGAAUGCAACAAUUGGCAUGAAUCCAAUCUCUCCCUAGAAGUAAAUUAUAUGCACCUUUUCCACUGAUAACAAAGAAGGUCAUCAGCAAGGUUUUACUACUGAUGGUUAAUUCAACGCAUAUAGCUCCCUUAACUGGAGACACAUUCCCUUCAAAAUCAUUCAACAUCAUGUCGGUCUUGGUCAAAUCCUUAUCUCCUUUGCCAAGCUUCCGAUAUACUACAUACGGCAUAAUGUUAAUCUCAACCCCCCAUCAAUGAUUAUUUUGGACUUCGGCUGCCCAUCGACCCUGCCAUUGAUAAACAGAGCUUUAAGAUGCUAUCUUUCAUUAGCAGAAGGCUUCUUGAACAUAGCUGACAUUGGAUCAAGUGCCAACUGAGCUAUCUGGUUAGGGAGAUUUAUUUCCUCAUCAUCGCUAAAGGGUGCAAUAAAUUCCAUUAGCAACAUAAACACCAUGUUAACAUCUGCCGAUGGUCCUUUCCCCUUGUGGUCCGAUUGCUGCCGAUUUUUAGACUUAGAAGAAUUUUCCUCCCUAUUCAGCUCUUCUUGACGUUAUCGCUGCAUCCUUCUCUUCUGGGUCCUUGUUAACCCUUCUUGGCACCAUUAGAGAAGCUGUGUCCUUCGCAAUGGUUGAUAGCGAGCCUCCCUUGACUCCAUCCGAUGAGUAUUAGCAUCUCUACAGAAUAUAAAUUCAUCGGGAACCCAUGUUUUUGCCAUUUCUUCAAGUUCCUCUUGGUUUCUUGGAAAAUGACCAACACAUUCACCAAGUCUAUCAUGCACACUGAGCCUGCCCCCCAGCCGAUCAUGGACUUACAUUCUCCCUCUGAUCGGUCCAGUGAAACGCUGAUCAUUGUUUUGGAACCAUUGAUCUGGCUGAUCAUACCGAUGGUAGCCAUUGCACUCAGGACAAUCUCGUACAGUCGGCAACUUGAUGUUUUGUUCCCAGCAAUGAAUAAAGAACGGGCAAUUCCAAUGAGCUCUAUGUGGAUUCCACUCUUGCCGGCACCUUUCUUCUUCUUGGCGUCGAUCCUCUUGCUGUCGGCGAUACCGAUCUUCACGCUGUUGCCACGUUUCCCGAUGUCGUCUAUGAGUAAUUACGAUACUAGAUCGAGGAGGCUUCCCAGCGUCAUCGGUGGUUACUUGAUGCUGGGGAUCUACCGAUGCACUUCUCUCAGCCGCUUCUAAUGUUAAGACUUUGGUUUUACCUUUGGCAUCUAACAUGUUUGCAGGGAAAGAAUGCUGAUCAAUUUUCAUCACCUUCUGAGCUUUGGAAUUGUCAAACUUAAUCCUCCCAGAUUCUAUAGCCGAUUGCAACUGCUGCUUGAACACUUUGCACCCAUUUCAACUGUUGUGACGUUGCAUUAUGCCACUUGCAAUACUUGAUCUUCUUUAACUCCUCUGCCGAUGGGAUCACAUGAUUGGGUGACAAUUUAAUCUGUCCUUCUUGAAGCAAUAAAUCAAAUAUCCUAUCGGCCUUUGCGAUAUCGAAAGCAAAUUUCUCGGGUUCUUUUUGGCCAAAAGGACAGGACAUCGGCUUUUUGUUUUUCACCCACUCUGCCAAACCGACUACUGGUUCUUCAUCAGAAUCUGAACUCAUUACCUCAUCCACAAAUGAGACUUUCUUAUUCCAAGCUUUCCUAGGUUCAAAAGCCUUGAUAUCUUGAUCAGAAAUUAUCUGCACCAAAUGACUCAGACUUUCAAACUCUUGAGAAGCAUAUUUGUCUUUGAUGUGUGGCAACAAUCCCUAGAAAGCCAAAUUGGCUAACUGCCGAUCAUCUACAACCAGACUGUAACAUUUGUUCUUUACAUCCUACAACCUCUGCACAAAGCAUUCAACCAAUUCUUCAUUAUGUUGCCUCAGUCUAACUAAAUCGGUAAUCUUCUUCUCAUGAAACCCAGAGAAGAAAUAUUUGUGAAACUGCUUUUCUAGAUCGGCCCAAGUAAUAACUGAAUUUGGAGGUAACGAAAUAAACUAGGUAAAUGCCGAUCUUGACAAAGAUGAUGAAAACAAACGAACUCUUAAUUCAUCUCUGUUAGCAGCCUCUCCAGACUGGAUGAUGAAACGAUUAACAUGCUCCAUAGUUGAUGUGUCAUCUUGCCCAGAUAAUUUAGUAAAAUCUGGCACCUUUUACUGAUUUGGAAGCAGAAUCAAAUCGUAUGGAGGAGGAUACAGUGUCCAAUAAGAAUAAGUAUUGACCUUUGGUUUUAUUCCAAACUAAUCUCUCAUAACUUCUGCUAUCUUAUCUGUCCAAUAGGCAUCGGCAUCCUGCCGAUGUGCAGGUUGAAGUUCUGGUACCUGCUAAUAAGGUUCCACAUGUCUCUGGGGUACACGAUCUCCAGGAAACAUAACAUUGGCCAUAGCUUGCUGACCACCAAUUUGCUGAGCUAGAUUCUUUAGCUGAUUGGCAGGUCCUUGAUUCUAAAAACCAACCUGCAUCUGUCCUUGCUAGAAUCUCACAGCUUGAUGAUUCUGUUGUGUCACAUGUGGAAAGACAAACUGCCCUGUCCAUCCAUUGUUAGCAUUCAUCGGCGCAGGCCCUGCUGAUGGCUGAUAAUUGACUGUCAUUGCUGGGUUGACAUACCCUGUCUAAGUCAUAAAUCUCUGUUGCAUCGGCAAUGGAUCUGCCGAUGAAUUUGCGUUAGGCAUCUGGAAUGUAGGCAUUGGAAAAUUCCCCAUAUCAGGCCUUGUAGUAGUAGUUGUAGAGUACUGGGGAAUCUGAGUCAUCGGCGAAACUGGAGGUGCCGAUGUCUUAGGAGCUUUUCCUACUAAGUCAGCCACCUAAGCUAUUCUAGAACUAUUUGCAAAAAAAUCCGGAGGCAUACCAUAUCCCCACCAAUUGGGAGGAACUUGACAAUUCAGAUCCGGGCAUUGCCGAUGCCGAUAGAUCCGUAUUGAGUUGAACCCGUCCCUCUGAUGCUGCUGGAUUAGUUUUCAUCAGUGUAGACUGCCCAUUAGUCAUCCCUAAUGUGCUUGGAGGAGAAGUAACUUCUAUACCCGCAACGGCCGGAGGAGCCGAUGGAGCCGUGACCGAUGACAACCCAGGCUGGUGAUAGGCUGGGCCAACAUAUAAUGGUGGUGUCUGUCCUUCUUUAAAAGUUCGAGCCAUGGCAUUGUAGACAGUAUUAUACAACACACUAGAUUGAUUUAUCAAAGCACGAUUAAUAGCAUUGUCAACCAUGUCUUGCAAUUUACGAGGAUUGGCUUCAAAAGUAAUCUGCCGAGGCAUCAGCAGUUCUUGCUUCUAGAAUACUUCACCGCUCCUGUUGACGCUGAAGGAUCUCAAAGCAAAGUUGCUUGUACUCCUCCAUAGCCCUCGCCAUAGCCUACUUCUCCUCGUCCCUGAGAUCAGCUUUUGUGACAGCAAUGACGUUCUCCGUAUCGAGCUCAGUAGUAGCCAUGUUGAUCUUGUUGGUAGAUUUGUCCCACCGGGUGUGCCAAAAGAUGUGUUGAUGCAAAAGUAGAUCUGCAAACACAAAGGGCUAAUACCCGAUUCAAAUGUUGAGGCAUGCCAGCUGAUUUGACCUUACAAUCGAUAAAGGUGAUAACUCGAAUACUUUGGUCCCGACAACAGCGAUGUGCCCGGAUGCCACGGCCAAAAGGUAUUCACACGGAACUCGAGAACUCAUCGAGUAUGACUUGAUGAAUACUUAACAACUCGUAAGUAAAAGAAAAUAUGUAAGUUGACGAAGUCAUCGAAAAAGUAGACACAAAAGUAGACGUAAAACUUGUGUAUAGUAUUGAUUGAUUGUUCUCUUACAUUGCUGCUAGGCCCAUAUUUAUACUCUUCUCUAAAGAGUUACAAUCGUAUAUGACUAGGAUCUAAUUCUAAACCAAAUAGGAAUCAUACAUAAAACAAACUCUAACAACUAUGGAAAACAACAACCUAUUUGUCUUUGCGAAUCGGCACACCACCAUUGCCUUCUUAGCAACUCCCAUGUCUCCCUUUGUUGUCAUCGGCAUAUUCCCUGCAUCCUUUCAUAAUCAUCAGCACACUCCUCUUCAUCAGCGUCGGCAAUCAUCAAUACCAGCAAUUGGCAUUACUCAACAACCAUCACCAGACUCAGCAACAUCUUCUUCCUGUUGUCCUAUCACCGGCAAUGCUGACCAUCGGCAAUUAUUCUAUCGGCCACGCACAUCACUUCUUUGACUACCGAUACUGACUACCCUGAUUCGUGUCCAAAAACGGUGUCAAUAAUUGUCCUCUAUUUUCUUUGCAACUCUUUUAUAGCUUCUGCAACUUCUUCUGGUGUUUUGUCCUUCUCUAUCUUUGCUAUAUCUUGCUUUGAUAAUACAAAUUUGUGUAUAUUUUCUUGCAACUUGAUAGGGCUCAGAUAACCGACCAUCGAUCCGGCAGAUAGUAAUGACCUCUACUCGUGAUCUUGCAAACUACAGACAACAUCUACAUAUUAGAGUUUCACACUACAUAUUAAUAAUAAUUGUGUGUGCAUGAGUGAUACUUAGAGGCACUAGAUUGUUAUGAGUUGGACGUCAAGCCACCUAUAGUUCGACAACAAGUGCAUGUCCUCGAAGGUAACAAAUGCCUUGCUUUUUUCGUUACCAGUAGCAAACACGUCUACUGGUAUAUCAACUCUGAUUGCAUGGAGGUCAGCAUGCACUGCUCUCAUGUACCAGUCAUGAAACCUUUUUAUCGUCCAUUGAAUCUUACCAAGCAGCGUCCAUUGGAGCGUAGGACUUCCGAGCACAUAGUCACUGGGGACAUUGACUUAAUCAUCAAUCGUUGGCUUUCUAAUAUCAUUUAGGGUCAAUGGUUGACUUGAUGGCUGUUCGACAUGUACAUCGCCACUUGGGGCUUCCUUUGAUGGGGGCAUGGCUUCUGUUGACUAGGCGGCAGCUUCCUUUUUCUGUGAUGGUUUGAGCUCAGUGAGUCGUGUCGUCCGCUGCUUUCCAAGUCCUUUCAGAAAGAGAGCUAUGCCUGCUGCUUUCCCCUUUUUUGGCUCAUAGGGAGAAAUCAAUUUUGGAAUUGGAAAUUUAUUCACCUUCUUAGAGGCCGGUGCUAAUGGGGGAGUUUGCUCAUCUUCCUUCUACUUUGGAGGUGGUGGGGGAGUUUGCUCAUCCUCCUUCUCCUUUGGAGGUGGUGGGGGAGUUUGCUUAUUCUCCUUCUCACGUGUUGUGUUCUCCUUGGAUGGCAGAGUCUGCUGCUUAGGGAUGUUCUCCUUGGCUGGCCCCUCAGGCUCAUUCUGCAAGAAUGCCAUCUCAUGUAUUGGGGAGGAUGGUGGUGGCUCGUAAAUGUAUGGGGAUGCUGGAGCAUGCAUUGGCAAUGGUGGCUAUUGAUAUGUUUCGGCCUCUUGAGAUGGUUGAGGCACUAUGCUUGGAGAGGGUGGCGCUGGUGGGCCAACCCCUUAUGUUGGAGCAGAAACCAGAAGCAACUUUUAAAUUCUUCAACCACACACACGUUGCAUGUUUCUCCUCUCUGUUCAGGUUGUAGCUUGCUGCCGGUAGCUGGUACUUCCCAUUCUCUAGGAGUAUAGGGUGAAGUUCUUUUUUGAUCUUCAAAUGUUGCAUGCCGAAACGUGAAUUGAGACCUUCCUUUGUCUUGCUCUUUAUGUCUAGGAAGGUUCCAAUUACGCUUUUAAACACACUGUUCUGAACAUGCAUACCAUCGACCGCAUGUCGUACGUCCAAGUUUUUCCAGUAGAAUAAGUACUUGAAGAAAAUGGACUUCUUCUUGAAUGUGUCCCCUUAAUUUGCCUUCACAACCUUUCUUCGUUUCCCAUGUUUGGUCUUCUUUCCAAAAAUAAACUUCACAUUCUCAACUAUCUUGUACACUCUAUGCCCUUUACUACAACCUGAUGGAGCAGUAGAUUUUGAUUCAUUAAUAUUGUUGAAGUACUUAUUCAUCUUUUGUAAGUUGUACUUAUGGCCUGCCGGUAGCCAUCUUCUAUGCCUCAUGUACACUAUCUUGUUGGAUGCAGGAAGAGACACGUGCCAUGUUCCAUCCAUGCACUCUACACAACCAACCUUUCCCUUGAACUGACCUGAUAAUGAGAAGAGAGCAGGGUAAUCAUUAAUUGUGACAAUAAUAAUUGCUCUCAGUGUGAAUGUCUCUUUGCGGAACACAUCGAUCAUGUCCACACCUACUUCCCAUAGUGUUUGCAUGUCUUGCAUUAAGGGCUCUGGAAAUACAUCCAUAUCAACUCCAGGUUGUGUAGGUAUAUAAAUAAGAAUGGUUAGCGAAAGAUAUUUUCUCCUUUGACAUAACCAUGAAGGAAGGUUGUAUAUUGUCAGGAAUUCAGGAUCAUCGGCCAUGUGUUGUGCGUGCUACUCCUUUCACCAAAUGGAUUCACUCCAUCAGUACUCAGUGCAAACCUUACACUCCUUGGAUCGUCAGCAAAGUCUGGAUAUUUCUUAUCGAAAUCUUUCCAUUGCUUUGCAUCAGCUGGAUGUCGUAACUUUCCUUUCAUCUGAAGCAUGCCGGGUCAUAAGUUCAGCGUCUUCAGGGUUUGCAAACAAACACCUCAAACGAUCAACCACGGGGAGAUACCAUAUCACCAAAGCAGGAAUUCUUCUCAAUGCAUAAUAGUCCACUUCUUCAUUGCUACUAGGCUUUGAGCAUUUGUCUUGUUGAGUCUUUGUUUGGGUCUUCUUUCGCUUCCUCCCUGUAGAAAUAGAGGCUAGAUUCUCUUCCUCCCGAUAAUCAUUGUUCGUCUUGUACCUACUGUCACCAUAGUUUGGACAGUUGUCUAAGUCUUUAUACUGAUCACCCUGAUAUAGAAUACAAUGAUUUCUACAUGCGUGGAUCUUCUCAACACCUAUUGUAAGUGGACUAACUAGCUUCUUUUCAUAGUACAUGUUAGCAGGCACUUUGUUCUCCUUAGGAAGAAGGUCUCCAAGUACACACAAGAAAUCAUUGAAGCUAGCAUCGGACCAACCAUGUCUAGCCUUCAUCGUUAAAAACAGAAGAACAACAUGUAAUGUCGACCACUGUUUGGUACAACCUUUCGACUCGUCAUACAAAGUGUCCUCUGCUUCCUUCGUCAAUGCUUCCAUUCCCUUCAUGAAGAAUAUUAAUGGAUCUACACAACGGUUCAUUAUUGCCUCUAAGAAAUCUGCAUCUUCAACAGCAUGUGUGUUAGCAUGCUGAGUUUCAUUGACAUCAGACGUAUGAGUUUGAUUGACAUCUGGCACAGCAUGAUGAGUUUCAUUGACAUAUGGCAUAGCAUGACAUUCAUUGAGAGGUGGCAUUGGACCCUCCACAUUGAUGUUAGUUGCAGUGUUGUCAGUUGUCCACAUAUAAGGUGCAGAACUACCCUCACCAUGUUUUGUCCAAAUCAAGUAGUCCUCCAUAAAUCCUCUGCAAACCAGAUGGGAAGUAAUUGCUUCUACAUUGUCAAAUACCACAAUAUUUUUGCAGUCUGCGCAUGGACAACAUAUGUUCUUCGCCUUUGUUCUGCGAGCAUGUAUCUUUGCGACAUCUAUAAAUUUUUGGACCUCCACUACAUAUGAUGGGUCCAAUCUUGAUAAGUUGUACAUCCAUAAUGACCUCUCCAUAUUUAGCUAUAAUUAGUUAAGAACAAUGUAGGUCAAUCUAAAAACAAAACUAAUACAACCCUUGAAAAUAGUCUUAACUAAGAUGCUAAUCUCCUUCUAUUAAAUGGAGAUGAAACCUACCCCUUACAGAGUUUACAAUUUAUAGAAUUUAAAUAAUUGUUUAAACUCAUUUUCAUAAUUAUAAGAAACAAUUGUAUAAAAUUUAGGAAUAAUUCAAGGAUUUCUAAGAUAAUCUUUACUUUUUAAUCAAACAUGCCUUAAUAUAACCAUAUUUCAUAAAUUUACACCCAAAGAUUUGAAAAAGUAUUUAUUUGCCAUUUUAUGAUUUUCAACAUUUUAAUGUAUGAAUUUAUAAAGUCUAAUUCAUCUAAAAAAAAGCUAAAACUGAAUCAAAAUUAUAAACUUCAAAAUGUCCACAACACUACUCUAUUGCAUAGAUCUACUCACAAGAAUUCUAAAAAGUAUUUAUUUUCUAUUUUUUUAAUUUUAUACAAUUUACUAUGAAUUUACAUAAAAAUUUAGCUAAAACUCUGUCUCUUGCCCUAUGAACCCUAACCCUAAGCAAGAAUGUAUGAUGAACUCUAGAUCUAGAGCACAUGCAAUACAAGAAUUGAACCAAAGAAUCACUAAAAAAAUAGCAUCAAGGGCACUAACUAACCUUUUGGAAGUUUCUCACCAAAGAAAUGAAGAUCAAAACCUCCCCCUUGGAAACUGGAAUCGCCUGGUCCACCAGUGUGCAGAGCUCACAGGAGUAACUGUUCAUGUCUAAAGGUGGAUGAAGGGCAUUUAUACCAAUCUUAACACAGGUGGCUCAUAAAGUGGGGGUUCUCUAUCAAACCGCCUUGAUAAUGGAAACCUCCCCCCUUGAUAAUUUAUGUAAAUAAAUUCUCACAGGCGGUCCUCUAUACAAACCGCCUGUGUAAAAAUGCACAUUUACAUAGGCAGCCUAAUUACGACAUCUGCCUAUGUUAAUGGUAUUGACACAGGUGGUUGGUAUCGUAAUCCGCCUGUGUAAAUGGACAAUUUACACAGGCAGUUGAAAUAAGAAAACCACCAGUGUAAACUUGUUUACAUAGGCGGUUCGCUUGUUGGGCCUGUUGGGUAUUCUUAACAUCACUACCGAAAGUGGACUUAAUUUUCUAAUUCUAGUAACAGUGCCAAAAAUGCCAAACCUAUCCCUCACACCACUUAAGCCAAGUUGUCAUCCCCAGCAUGACAUGAGAGACGCGGUAUUGAAAUAUGCAAUUGCUCUUCUAAAUAAAUAAUGAAUGGGAUCUACAAGCGCACAGAUUAAUACCGAUGUAGCAUUUUAACCGGGAAGUAUUCCAGGUAUCGUUAUUUAUAUUUUUACCACUGUAAAGGGAUUAACAAUCAUCAAUAUUGAUUACAUAAUAGAAUAUGAGAUUAAGUAUCUAUCAUUGCAUAUAUAAUUGAGAACAUUUAUCUAACUCUUUCGUACAGGGAUAAGUGUCACAUAAAAGAUAUAUGAAAUAAUAAAUAGUGACAAAGAUAAUUAAUCUGAUCAUAACUUAGCCACAUAAUAAAUAUGAUAAGUACCUCAAUUAGAUACUCUAGAAAGUCAUUAGCAUGGUAUUAGAACGAACUACAAGAAUAUUUCCUAAGUUAUUCUCAACUAUAUAGUCUAGCAUUAUCAUAGUUAGUGCAAGCAUACUUAGCAAUCAUUGCGAGACAAGACUACGCCCAUGCAUAGUGAUAUUAGCAAGGUAAAUGAGAAACAUAGCAAUCACUCCCCUGUAAUAAUGUUGGUCUGCCAGCCCAAUACACGAGAGGGGGACUAUAUAAGAAUCAAUGAAGCUGUCACUAUCACGAACUACCCCACGAUCUGACAUAUUGGGUACAAUCGCAGAUAAAUACGGUAUAAGCACCACGCAUACACGAUAUCUAUCAUUUACCCAUGAAUCCGAUGGAUAAACGCUAUACGAUCCUAAGCAUGUAUAUAAAUCCAAUCUAACUAAGCCAAGUAUAUAACUAUGAUAAACUAAGAACAAUAUAAUCUUGAAUAUAAACAAGUAGAGCAAAGUCAUAAGCAAUAUAUUGAAGUAGAACAAAGUCAUAUUCAUAAUAUUGAAGAACAAAGAUAAUUAGAAGAACAAUUAGAAGCACAACUAGAGAAUUACCAAGAAUCCUCUUGACAGAUCCGGAAACCAAUCGAAGAUUGAAUCCUUCAAGUUGUAAUCCUAUGUAGCUAUGCUAAUCUAGAUAUCUAAUUGAUGUGGUGGCUCUAAUCUUGAUCAGGGGCUUCUUUUCCCUUGAGGAAUAAUGAAUUAGGGUUGAGAGGCUCCCUCCUCCAGGGGCCAGGGGUUCUGGUUUUAUAGUCCCUUCAAGUGAAUAUGGGCCAUUGGAUCAAACCGACAUUGAUUGAACGGUUAUCCUUGAUCCUUUAGGUCGGUGGAGAUCUCCCGAGAAACAGAGUCCUGAUUGGCCUCCAAGUCAGGGCGGGCGCCCAGGGCAGGAGGGCGGGCGCCCUGCCUCUGGCCCCGUUCGGCCACCGCUUUCUUCCCGUGGCUUCUGGAGUCUUCUAGAUGUAAGAUAAUUGCGCGGUACGUUAAUAUCUCUAUGUAAUCCCAACGUGUGGGCCUUUCUUCCGUAUUUCCUGAUAACCCCCUGCACAAAAAGACAAACACCAAAACUCGUGGAAUUCUGUCAGAUAAAACCCUAAGUCUAGAUGUUGAUUUCAUUUAGAUCCUUUUCUUUGUUUAUUUGAUAAUUAAAUUUGAUACUUAAGGACUGUCAACAAACUCCCCCAAGCUUACCUGUUGCUCGUCCCUGAGCAAGGAUAGAUUAGAAGUUGCUGCAAUACUUUUAAAAAUUGAUGGUACACAUGCUUUUAAAUAAGAUCUCAUCUCUGAGUUAGAGUAAACUGUCAAGACUUAAAACUUAUUCAUUAUACCUUUCACCAUGGGACUUGUAACCGUCACUUCUGUCUUGAGUAGUUAAAAGAUAGAACAGUCUAGUCAAGUGCCAUGUCUCUUAUUCUUGAUCAGCUAUAGCUCUAGAGUUUUUGCAGAUUUUCAAAUAAAACUCAGAGAUUCCUUGUAUGACUCUCUCAGAUCUCUCUUUUGUGGUAUUUCUGGAUCCUUACCAAUGCAUUGAUAGUAUAUGCCUUCUCUCAAAAAGUAUGUAGUAUUUGUGGUAUAAAGCAUAGUGACAUUGUCUUCUCUCUCACCCUACUCUAAUAAGGCUUUAAUAUCUGGAGCUCAUAGGUGGGAGAUAAAGUAUACAUACUUACAAGACAUUUAUUGCAUAGUCAAACCAUGGAUCCAAAGAAAUAAGUCAAUAAGUUUAAUCAAGAUGUGCAUGUGUGGCGAAUGAAUGGUAUAUGGUAAUGAUGGUGAUAACAAUGGUGAAAGUCUAGAUCUACUUUUGCUCUUUUAAGGGGGUACAUACCUUCUUUGCUUUUUGAAACUUUAUGAGGAGAAUGAGAUGCUCUAUAUUUUUCUUUUCUCUCAGGUGGGUAUCUUGUACCCCUAAUUCUACUGUCGGACACUUGUCCAUUUUUACCUCUCGUUUCACUUUUCUUUUCUUUCGAGGUUUCGAGCACUUGCCCCUUUUUAUUUCCUCGUAUCUUUUUUCUCUUUUUUUAGAGCACUCAUCUCUUGAGAUAAUGUAGCAAGUGGUAGUAACAAGAUAACUUAAGUAUUUAUUUCACAGGGAAAAACAGAAAUAUUUUUGGCUAUUCUCUCCCGGAUUAGGAGUAGAAUAUUUUUAGAUGGUUCCGGAGAUGAAAAUGGGUGGAUAUAUGUGGAUGGUACUUCCGGAGUAGAAGUAGCAUAUAUGAGUGAACGUGCA